rnacentral:rRNA from 1 species
ACUCAAAUGAAUUGACGGGGGCCCGCACAAGCGGCGGAGCAUGUGGAUUAAUUCGAUGCAACGCGAAGAACCUUACCUGGGCUUGACAUGCACUGGAAACCAGUAGAGAUAUUGGCCCCCUUGUGGCCGGUGUACAGGUGGUGCAUGGCUGUCGUCAGCUCGUGUCGUGAGAUGUUGGGUUAAGUCCCGCAACGAGCGCAACCCUCGUUCCAUGUUGCCAGCGGGUAAUGCCGGGGACUCAUGGGAGACUGCCGGGGUCAACUCGGAGGAAGGUGGGGAUGACGUCAAGUCAUCAUGCCCCUUAUGUCCAGGGCUUCACACAUGCUACAAUGGCCGGUACAAAGGGCUGCGAAACCGUGAGGUGGAGCGAAUCCCAUAAAGCCGGUCUCAGUUCGGAUCGGGGUCUGCAACUCGACCCCGUGAAGUCGGAGUCGCUAGUAAUCGCAGAUCAGCAACGCUGCGGUGAAUACGUUCCCGGGCCUUGUACACACCGCCCGU